rnacentral:lncRNA from 1 species
CCCAACUCAAUGAGGGCAACAGUUUUGAAGGGUGUCCACGAUGAAGCCGGUCAUCAGGGGCAACAGWGGAUGUUGUACUUGACAAGACAGAGGUUCUUCUGGCAUGGUCUGGAGUCAGAUGUGAGAGAGUAUGUCAAGACCUGCAAGAGGUGUGUGUUCAGCAAGGCCCCCGAGCCAGAGGCCAGAGCUCCACUGGAGAACAUCAUCACGACUGAGCCCCUCGAGUUGGUGUGUGUGGACUUCUGAUCUGCGGAAGACUCCAACAACAAGUCCUUGGAUGYUCUGGUCGUCACUGAUCAUUUUACUAAGAUGGCCCAUGCCUUCUUGUGUCYGAACCAAUCAGCUAAAGCAGUGGCCCUUCAGCUGUGGAACAACAUCUUCUGUGUGUAUGGUUUWCCUCGUCGUAUCCACUCUGACCAAGGGGCCAACUUUGAAAGUAAAUUGAUUGCUGAGUUGUUGAGUGCUGCAGGAGUCCAGAAGUCGCACACAACUCCCUACCAUCCAAUGGGGAAUGGGGGAGUCGAAAGGUUCAAUAGAAUGCUGAGAAACAUGAUCAGGGCUUUACCUACGAGAGCGAAGCACAGGUGGCCCCAGAAGCUGAAGUCGUUGACCUUCGCCUACAACUGUACAGUCCAUGAAACCAUGGGCCAUGCCCCUUUCCAGUUGAUGUUUGGGAGAACCCCACGUCUGCCUGUCGACAUGAUGUUUUGUACGGUGCUACAAGACUCAGAUGUUGUAGACUAUGACGAGUACAUCAAGUCCCUGACAAGAGACCUGAGGGAGGCCAUGGAGACGGUACAGGUGUGGGCAACCAAACAACUGAAGAGGCAUGCGGGCCUCUACAACAGGAAGAUCAGAGGAGCUCCAGUGGAGGUCGGUGAUUGGGCGCGGCUGGUGAGUAAAGGUGAACGUGGAAAGAGGAAGCUGGCGGAUCGCUGGGAGAACAACCUCAAAAUUGUUACAGAGAAGAAUAGUGACGUCCACAUCUUCAAGAUACAGAACAUGUCGACUGGCCAGGAGAAAACGGUCCACCGUAAUCUGAUAAUGCCUGUAAACUUCUUGCCUCUCCCUGACACUGCCUUAGAGACACCUGAUACGGGAGACCAUGAGGAGAUGGAGGACUCAUCCAUGAACAAUAUACCAGAAAUGGACAUCGUGAGAGGACUAGAACAGACCUCGG